rnacentral:rRNA from 2 species
AGACCCGAAACCCGGUGAUCUAGCCAUGGGCAGGUUGAAGGUUGGGUAACACUAACUGGAGGACCGAACCGACUAAUGUUGAAAAAUUAGCGGAUGACCUGUGGCUGGGGGUGAAAGGCCAAUCAAACCGGGAGAUAGCUGGUUCUCCCCGAAAGCUAUUUAGGUAGCGCCUCGUGAAUUCAUCUCCGGGGGUAGAGCACUGUUUCGGCUAGGGGGCCAUCCCGGCUUACCAACCCGAUGCAAACUGCGAAUACCGGAGAAUGUUAUCACGGGAGACACACGGCGGGUGCUAACGUCCGUCGUGAAGAGGGAAACAACCCAGACCGCCAGCUAAGGUCCCAAAGUCAUGGUUAAGUGGGAAACGAUGUGGGAAGGCCCAGACAGCCAGGAUGUUGGCUUAGAAGCAGCCAUCAUUUAAAGAAAGCGUAAUAGCUCACUGGUCGAGUCGGCCUGCGCGGAAGAUGUAACGGGGCUAAACCAUGCACCGAAGCUGCGGCAGCGAACGUAUCACCCAAGACAACUUUACGGAGUUGACGAUUGACGGAGCGAAGCGACGUCAAAGCGUUCAUUAAAGUCGAGUUGGCUUAGGGAUACGUUCGUUGGGUAGGGGAGCGUUCUGUAAGCCUGCGAAGGUGG